rnacentral:lncRNA from 1 species
AAAGUUAUUUGUUUUGACUGCUCUUAAUUCUUAUAUUGAAUUGUAAAACUUUUAUUUUAGAUCUGUAUGGAGAGGACUACACUGGUGGUGACUCUGAAGACUUGUACAAGGAUGAUAAUGAUGUUGGGAAGGCUCAUAAAAGGAAGUGGACAGAUGAAGAAAAACUCAAUCUUGCCCCUGUUAUUAUGAAAGUAGUGUGUGAUGGAAGGUCUCCAUAAAAAUUGUGUUUCUUUGAAAAGAAGUAACAUAGAAAUAAGAGAUAUGCACUGGUUGAAUGUCUAUUACCAAGAGCGAACAACAAAGAAUGAAAAUUAGAAAAUAACUUCCGAACAAUUCUUAAAACUAUUCAUCAGAAUAAAAAAAAAUAUGGUUAUAAAAGUUCCAAUAAAGGUGUCAUUUGUCAAUGAAA